CCGCAGCCCCUCCCUCAUCUCCCACCGCACGCCGCCACCCACCACAUCUUCGUGUCCUUCCUCCCAUAGCUCGCCGCCGGCCCUCCCAUCCCUUCUUCUCACCUCGCAGCUCCGACAACUACCAGAUCCACCGCAUCCCCCACCCAUCCAUCCCUCUCGCAAUACAUCCAUUCCUCUCCGGCGCUCGCCUGUGACCCUUAGCCAUGGCUAGGGUUUUGGCCGUGGCAUUGUGUCCAACACUUCACAUCUCCGGCGGCUCCUCUCCAUCCACACAUCGUGUCUCCGGUAGCUCCUCUCCAUCCACACCCCUCUUCCUUGAGCCCACCUUGCCGGCUGUGCGGUGAUGCCGCUAGGCAACGUCCAGUGGCGAGCGACCAACUCCUGGGCCGCCGUCCGCGACACCUCUUCUCCACCAAGGAAUUGUUUGAGAGUCCUGCAAUUCGUGAACAGUUUCUGAGUACUUAGCAUUCAAGGAGCAGCUUGUCAAUGAGCAGUCUGUCUGAGGAUGAAUUUUAGCAGUUGUAGGUUUCCAUUCUACUUGUAGUGAAUAACCUUAUGAAUUCAUUCUCUCUGUCUUGACAACAGUUCCAGCAGCAAAUUUGUGCUUCUUCUUGAUUCACCGACUAGUCUGUAUACUGUCUUUGGGUUCAGAGUGUGUUGUGUACUCGUCAAAUUGAUGGCCUUUUUCAAUCGUUGAUGUAUCAUGUAUCUUAGGGAAGGAGGCAAGAAGGGAUAUACCAAGUUACAAUAUUAUUGAUGAGUUUUUUUCAAUGCUAUACAAUAUAGUUCUUAUUUCACUUGCAAUGUUAAAUUCUUUGGUGCCCAUCAGUUUAGUCAAUCUUUUAAUCCCCUUUCUUACUAUAUACAGUAGAUAGUACUUAAUGAUGCAUGCGUAUUUGAACAGUGGCGUCACCUCUGUUCCUAUAUAGAUUCAUAACAAAGGUCCAACACUGUCAGUGUCGAUUACCUAGCGUGGCUACUGCCCUCUCUAACUAUAAGGCUGUGUUGUCUGUGCGUGCUGACAAGGUGCUGGCAGCUAGGGGAUCUGGUGCAGCAGCCGGUGUGUUGUGUGUGCGUGCUUCCUCUCUGAAUGUUUAACACUGAUUUUUCUCUGAAUGUUUCUAUAUCCUCUACACUGUAGGGUACCAAGUAGAGACAAACAACAGGGUACAAAGCAGAGUCAAACCACCGCACUAUGGUAUUUGGCCUUUUAUCAAGUUCUAAUUUCACUUUAGAAUAUUUCCCUAGGUCUUGGAGACAUGAUUUCUGUUACUGUAUUAACAUGUCGACAUGUUCUGUUUAGUGAUUUCUCCCUAGGUACUUUUCUUUUUCUAUCCUUGUUGUCUCAUGCAGCCAGCCAGGUGAAUAUGUAUGCCAAAAAUAUGUUUAAUCUGAACCUAAGAAGAAAAUUACAUCGUUACAUUGUGGCAGUCCUACAGUAAUAAUACAGAGGUUUAAACCUGUUAAUUUGUGUACUAAACACAUCUAUUAGCGAGUCAAUUUAGAGUAGUAUUACUACUUUUAGUUGUGCAUCUGCUACUAGUACCAAGGCCAAGUGUUUGCUCACUCUCUCAACCUUGAGGCAGACACCGAGCUAGCUAGCACUUGCCAUCAGAGUGACACAACGCAUUGGUUCUUCAACUCCUUUGCUCCAUCACUAGGUUGCCUUCCUGAAUAGUGCUCGUGACAAGUGAUCCUAAAUCAUUUUUCUUCAUGUUAUUCCUCUUUUUAUUUCGAUCACUUAACAAUCUAAUUGUCUGAUUAUGAUCUCUUGUUUUUGGGAUGCAGGUCUAGGUAGCUCUGUAACAGUCGUCCACUGCAUUGUGCACAAUAGAGCUUGAGAGGGCAACCAUGGUGGUCGUUGGGAGCUGAACCACGAUCAACCAAGGGUUUGCCACCGUGUUACUGGAGAUUGAAGUUUUUUAGCAGGAAUUAAUUGGGUCUGGAUAGCUGCCUUGAAUUGCUGUAGUGUUGGAGAUUAAAAUCAGCUAGUAGUGCAUUUUCUUUGAAGCCAUGUAACUCAAUUUUUUAAAAGAUGCUUAUAGCGCUAGAUAUG